CGUGUGGGCUUAGCGAGAGUACCUGAAGAAAAAGCAUCGGCUAACUCCGUGCCAGCAGCCGCGGUAAUACGGAGGAUGCGAGCGUUAUCCGGAUUUAUUGGGUUUAAAGGGUGCGUAGGCGGAAUAUCAAGUCAGCGGUAAAAAUUCGGGGCUCAACCCCGUCGUGCCGUUGAAACUGAUGUUCUUGAGUGGGCGAGAAGUAUGCGGAAUGCGUGGUGUAGCGGUGAAAUGCAUAGAUAUCACGCAGAACUCCGAUUGCGAAGGCAGCAUACCGGCGCCCAACUGACGCUGAAGCACGAAAGCGUGGGUAUCGAACAGGAUUAGAUACCCUGGUAGUCCACGCAGUAAACGAUGAAUGCUAAUUGUCCGGAGGGAUUGACCUCUGG
rnacentral:rRNA from 1 species